rnacentral:tRNA from 1 species
AAAAAGGUAAGCUAAUUCAAGCUAAUAGGUUCAUACCCUGUUUACGGAAGCCGGCCUUCCCCUCUUUA